rnacentral:rRNA from 1 species
UACAGAGGCCUCGAGCGUUAGGCGGAAUCACUGGGCUUAAAGCGUGUGUAGGCGGAUUGGUAAGUACCUUGUGAAAUCCCACAGCUUAACUGUGGAACUGCUCGGUAUACUGCUGAUCUUGAGCCACUCAGGGGCUACCGGAACAAAUGGUGGAGCGGUGAAAUGCGUAGAUAUCUGGAGGAAUACCGGUGGCGAAGGCGGCAUCCUGGACCAUUACUGACGCUGAGGCGCGAAAGCUAGGGGAGCAAACGGG